rnacentral:rRNA from 1 species
AGAGUUUGAUCAUGGCUCAGAUUGAACGCUGGCGGCAGGCCUAACACAUGCAAGUCGAACGGUAACAGGAAACAGCUUGCUGUUUCGCUGACGAGUGGCGGACGGGUGAGUAAUGUCUGGGAAACUGCCUGAUGGAGGGGGAUAACUACUGGAAACGGUAGCUAAUACCGCAUAACGUCGCAAGACCAAAGAGGGGGACCCUCGGGCCUCUUGCCAUCGGAUGUGCCCAGAUGGGAUUAGCUUGUUGGUGGGGUAACGGCUCACCAAGGCGACGAUCCCUAGCUGGUCUGAGAGGAUGACCAGCCACACUGGAACUGAGACACGGUCCAGACUCCUACGGGAGGCAGCAGUGGGGAAUAUUGCACAAUGGGCGCAAGCCUGAUGCAGCCAUGCCGCGUGUAUGAAGAAGGCCUUCGGGUUGUAAAGUACUUUCAGCGGGGAGGAAGGGAGUAAAGUUAAUACCUUUGCUCAUUGACGUUACCCGCAGAAGAAGCACCGGCUAACUCCGUGCCAGCAGCCGCGGUAAUACGGAGGGUGCAAGCGUUAAUCGGAAUUACUGGGCGUAAAGCGCACGCAGGCGGUUUGUUAAGUCAGAUGUGAAAUCCCCGGGCUCAACCUGGGAACUGCAUCUGAUACUGGCAAGCUUGAGUCUCGUAGAGGGGGGUAGAAUUCCAGGUGUAGCGGUGAAAUGCGUAGAGAUCUGGAGGAAUACCGGUGGCGAAGGCGGCCCCCUGGACGAAGACUGACGCUCAGGUGCGAAAGCGUGGGGAGCAAACAGGAUUAGAUACCCUGGUAGUCCACGCCGUAAACGAUGUCGACUUGGAGGUUGUGCCCUUGAGGCGUGGCUUCCGGAGCUAACGCGUUAAGUCGACCGCCUGGGGAGUACGGCCGCAAGGUUAAAACUCAAAUGAAUUGACGGGGGCCCGCACAAGCGGUGGAGCAUGUGGUUUAAUUCGAUGCAACGCGAAGAACCUUACCUGGUCUUGACAUCCACGGAAGUUUUCAGAGAUGAGAAUGUGCCUUCGGGAACCGUGAGACAGGUGCUGCAUGGCUGUCGUCAGCUCGUGUUGUGAAAUGUUGGGUUAAGUCCCGCAACGAGCGCAACCCUUAUCCUUUGUUGCCAGCGGUCCGGCCGGGAACUCAAAGGAGACUGCCAGUGAUAAACUGGAGGAAGGUGGGGAUGACGUCAAGUCAUCAUGGCCCUUACGACCAGGGCUACACACGUGCUACAAUGGCGCAUACAAAGAGAAGCGACCUCGCGAGAGCAAGCGGACCUCAUAAAGUGGGUCGUAGUCCGGAUUGGAGUCUGCAACUCGACUCCAUGAAGUCGGAAUCGCUAGUAAUCGUGGAUCAGAAUGCCACGGUGAAUACGUUCCCGGGCCUUGUACACACCGCCCGUCACACCAUGGGAGUGGGUUGCAAAAGAAGU